rnacentral:rRNA from 1 species
GACGAACGCUGGCGGCGUGCUUAACACAUGCAAGUCGAACGGAAAGGCCCUGCUUUUGUGGGGUGCUCGAGUGGCGAACGGGUGAGUAACACGUGAGUAACCUGCCCUUGACUUUGGGAUAACUUCAGGAAACUGGGGCUAAUACCGGAUAGGAGCUCCUGCUGCAUGGUGGGGGUUGGAAAGUUUCGGCGGUUGGGGAUGGACUCGCGGCUUAUCAGCUUGUUGGUGGGGUAGUGGCUUACCAAGGCUUUGGCGGGUAGCCGGCCUGAGAGGGUGACCGGCCACAUUGGGACUGAGAUACGGCCCAGACUCCUACGGGAGGCAGCAGUGGGGAAUAUUGCACAAUGGGCGGAAGCCUGAUGCAGCAACGCCGCGUGCGGGACGACGGCCUUCGGGUUGUAAACCGCUUUCGCCUGUGACGAAGCGUGAAUGACGGUAAUGGGUAAAGAAGCACCGGCUAACUACGUG